ACAUGAGUGAGGCAGGUGGUCGUGUGACGAAUGGAAGCAAGAGUAAACGUUGUUUUAAUAUGGCGCAAGGGAGGUCAACAUCCCAGAUAUUGUGAUGUAUGAUCCUUUACAGCAGUGGACUCCAACCUUUUUGGGAAUGAGGGCUACCUGAAGGACCCAAAAUCACAUGGAUGAAUAAAGGCCUAUG